GACGAACGCUGGCGGCGUGCUUAAUACAUGCAAGUCGAGCGAACAGACGAUGAGCUUGUGCCGUUCUCGUGUGCCGAACACGUGUGUAAAACGUGUGUAUACCCUCCUUAUAUUUCUGAUAACUCCUCGAAAAUCCGGCGCAUACAGCGGAGGAGCUAUUGCAGCGUAGUGGUGGAUGGAGAGAUUCGGCGGUUGGGGCUGGACUAGCGGCUUAUCAGCUUGUUGGUGUGGUAGGGGCGUACCAGGGCUUUGACGGGUAGCCGGCCUGAGAGGGUGACCGGCCACAUUGGGACUGCGAGACGGCCCAGACUGCUACGGGAGGCAGCAGUGGGGAGUAUUGCACAAUGGGCGGAAGCCUGAUGCAGCAACGCCGCGUGCGUGAUAACGGCCUUCGGGUUGUAAACCGCUGUCGCCUGUGACGAAGCGUGAGUGACGGUAAUGGGUAAAGAAGCACCGGCUAACUACGUG
rnacentral:rRNA from 1 species